UGCGCAGGCGGUUAUGUAAGACAGAUGUGAAAUCCCCGGGCUUAACCUGGGAACUGCGUUUGUGACUGCAUAACUAGAGUGCGGCAGAGGGGGGUGGAAUUCCACGUGUAGCAGUGAAAUGCGUAGAUAUGUGGAGGAACACCGAUGGCGAAGGCAGCCCCCUGGGUCGACACUGACGCUCAGGCACGAAAGCGUGGGGAGCAAACAGGAUUAGAUACCCUGGUAGUCCACGCCCUAAACGAUGCGAACUAGGUGUUGGGGAAGGAGACUUCUUUAGUACCGUAGCUAACGCGUGAAGUUCGCCGCCUGGGGAGUACGGUCGCAAGAUUAAAACUCAAAGGAAUUGACGGGGACCCGCACAAGCGGUGGAUGAUGUGGAUUAAUUCGAUGCAACGCGAAAAACCUUACCUACCCUUGACAUGUCCGGAAGGCCGCAGAGAUGUGGUUGUGCCCGAAAGGGAACCGGAACACAGGUGCUGCAUGGCUGUCGUCAGCUCGUGUCGUGAGGUGUACGGUUAAGUCCGCCAACGAGCGCAACCCUCGUCCUGUGUUACCAGCAAGUAAAGUUGGGGACUCACAGGAGACCGCCGGUGUAAGCCGGAGGAAGGUGAGGAUGACGUCAAGUCAGCAUGGCAGUUACGCCUGGGGCUUCACACAUGCUACAAUGGGCGAAACAAUGGGCAGCGAUACCGCGAGGUGGAGCCAAUCCCAAAAACACGCCCCCAGUUCAGAUUGCAGUCUGCAACUCGACUGCAUGAAGGCGGAAUCGCUAGUAAACGCAGUCAGCUAUACUGCGUUGAAUACGUUCCCGGGCCUUGUACACACCGCCAUCCAUAUGACUAGUAGA
rnacentral:rRNA from 1 species